rnacentral:rRNA from 1 species
UUCGGGGACUAGGACACAGGUGCUGCAUGGCUGUCGUCAGCUCGUGUCGUGACGAUGUUGGGUUAAGUCCCGCAACGAGCGCAACCCUCGCCAUUAGUUGCCAUCAUUUAGUUGGGGAAACUCGUAAUGGGACUGCCGGUGCUAAGCCGGAGGAAGUCGGGGAUGACGUCAAGUCCUCAUGGCCCUUACAGGUGGGCUACACACGUGCUACAAUGGCGACUACAGAGGGUUAAUCCUUAAAAGUCGUCUCAGUUCGGAUUGUCCUCUGCAACUCGAGGGCAUGAAGUUGGAAUCGCUAGUAAUCGCGGAUCAGCAUGCCGCGGUGAAUACGUUCCCGGGCCUU